GAUCCUCCUGCCUCGGCCUCUCAGGUAGCUAGGACUACAGAAGUCAAAUGCUAGUAUGAUGACUGAAGUGAGGAAAAGAUAUUGGAGCUGAAGAGAUUUACAUGAGUAGAACCGUUCCUAAUACUACUUUAAACAGAAGAAUAAACAUUGAAUGAAAGGGCAGUGAGGUACACCAGUUGCAGUCUGUUCUAACUGGAUAGUAACAAAAACAAUAGAGGAAAGGACACUCAGUUUGGUGUUGGGAGAAGAAAAGCCAGUACCUGAUAGUUUUAGCAGGUACAUAAAAUAUUACCAAGUAGAAAGCAGCAUCGUCUAAUGAAAUGAGACUUCUCAUACGCUCUGUAGAAGCAUUUCCUAGACUGUUUUUUCAAAUUCAAAAAUUUCAAGUGCACUUCCAAAAGUUUGUUGAAAGUGGCGUGGUGCAGCUUGGCGUGAAUUCACAGCUGUUUAACAUCUCAACGCUUUCAGAGAACUCGGCUUCUAAUUGGUUCCAAAGCCAAUUUAAGUUGUCUUAUCACGCAACGGGAACUCAAAAUGCUGAUUGGACUAAGACGCGUCGCUUACAACGUCUAUAAAUCAUGAUAGCGAUUGUUCUUGGAGGGAUUCUGUACAGAGCAGUUUACUUACUGUUAAAAAUUUAAACAUCACGUUCUCAAGUGGAAACUCGCAAUUAUUUGAGGAGAGAAAAAGGGAGAAAAAGAGCGUUCGGAACUUAGAAGAGUACGUUAAAAGGCACCAGGAAACAUUCACACAAAGGGAACGAUUUUCGUUUAAGUAUUUAUAGGAAUGGAACAUGUUUGCCUGCAGUGUUUCUGUGCUAAAAAUUUUCAGGAGUUAGUUAUAGAUCAUUCCUUUUUCUUCUUUAACUUCUCUUUCCUCAAAUCGGGUUUUAAUUAUCCUUCGAGAUGUGUGUUUUAAGUGGUAUGUCUUCGAUGUGGGUGUGUAAGCUAAUUCCAGGGAGGAGGGCAGAGUUAGCAAUAAACUACAACGCACUGGAACUAAGGAAUGUUCCUGUACCUUUUUUCCCCUGAUGUUUCUUUCCAGUAACAAAAUGUUAGUGUGAAAUCAUUGUACUGUAUUUAGUACCAAACAAAUAGGGAUUUCAUUUAUGCCUUUAAUAAUACCUGAAAAUAAAAAUAAAGCAGGCAAAUAAAUACAUUUCAGAUGACCUUGGGAGUACUACACAAGUAAAUCACGAGAGAUUAGCGAGCGAAGCACUGGACAAAUUGUUUGAAACAAAGGGAAAGUUUCUCAGCUCACAAGAUGAAAGCUUUGAUUUCCUCAUAAAAGAAAACUGUUAAGAAAUAAUUAUUUUCCUGAAAUACAACGUUCCAAAUAGGAAUUGGCGAGGGGAAGCAACAGUAUUUUAACACAUUUUGCAAUCUGCAGUGCUGUUUGAUUUUGUUGUAUAAUUUUUCGAUAUGCUUAAAAGGUGGAAAAUAGAAUUAAGAGGGUUGGAAACAUGAAAUGAAACAUUUUGGUUCUGAUAGUACCAAUCAGAAAGCAGAAAGGAACAGCCGCACACUGCCUUUAUUAUUCUUCAUAAAGGCUGUGGCAGAAGAGACACGCAGCAUGGGAGUCUCUGUGGCGCAAUCGGUUAGCGCGUUCGGCUGUUAACCGAAAGGUUGGUGGUUCGAGCCCACCCAGGGACGCGCCCUCGUUUUACGAGAUGGUCGCGGGUAGUUUUGUAGAAAUGGAGUUCAGGCCUCGGGCUAAGCUGGGGUGGAUUUCCAGGGACCAAGCGGAGAAACCACCGACCCUUACACUGCGCGGCCAGCCGGCGAGCCCUUCGGUUUCGCCCCGUCCUGAGCUACCUCCUCUACCCCGCUGUCCUCCCCCGGCUGCAGGUGAGCGCGGCCAGCCCUUCCCCGGGGUCGUCGCAGGGAUCUAGGCCUCGCCAGGGUCCCGGAGCGGGGACGCGCAGAGGCCGCGCGGGCCCGUUUGCCGCGCGCGACCGCCUCUCCAGUUGUGCGCGUUCCCGGAGGCCCGAGCGUACACAGGGAACGCGGCCCGGGCUGGUCUUGCUGGGCUUCGGGACGCCUGAAAUGUCACGGGGCCACCGCAAUGCAUGCAUUUCAACAGUGUCAAGUUCGAGCUGCAAACUGAAAACUCUCACAUUUUGUUGAAGCAUGGCCGCCCUUUUGUCUGUUCCCUGUCAGCGUAAACAUCUUCGUCUGCGACUUAAACAUUAAUUGUUCCUGGUGUUAAUGCCUACAGAAAUAAUUUUUGUUGCAGUAAAUCUUUCGUGUGGACAAUAUUGUAAGAAUAUAUAUUAUAUUCACUUUUUCUACUAAAACGCUUGAAUUUAUUAGAGAAUGGAAUAAGCCUGCAACACUUCCCAUCGAUGCAGAAAAGGAGAAAAACCUCUUUUAAAAUAGUAUGAUUGUUAAACCAAAAAAAAAGGAUGAGAAAGAUUAAAAGUGAAGCUGCUACAUAAUUCGCUUCAACUUUCUACUUUCAACGUCCCCUACUUUUAUUUCCCCAAAUGCAAAGCCCUCUCAAAAUAGUUUCCUUUUAUUUUAUUACUUUGAGAAAUAAUCCUAGUUUCAUCAUAACAAUUAUUGUCUUGGUUUGGACUACAGAAAGUUGAAAGAGAAUUCUGAAGAAAAGUGUAAGAACUAGUACAAAUGAUUCCUGUGGAUAUAUUGUUUUAUAUUCUUCGUUAUAUUUCAGCUCAGUUGACAUAUUAAUAAAGGCUAAUUUUAUUGAGCGCUUUCAUGGAGAAAGGUAUAUAAUCUUCAUAAGCCUUCCAGGUCCUAUUACUGCCAUUGUACAGAUGAGGCAACUGAGGCACAGUGCGACUGAGUAAUCAGCUGAGUAAUUUGCUUGAAGUCACAGUGAGUUUGGAACCUGGGUAGUCAGGCCCAUGCCCAAGCUCCUCCCUGCUGUACUGCCUGCUUGGAAGUUCCUUCCUCUAAAAUACAGCUACCCAAUUAGUUAAUUUAAAACCAAAAUGAUACUUGAAUUGGUUUUUAUGAAGUUUCGUUAAUAUUUUGCUCCAAAUCUCGUAAAGGGAGUAAAAUAAAAACCAACACAACAUUUAUGGCGUGCUAAAGGGUAUUGUUAAAUUAUGCAUUCAUUGGGCUGGUCAAUUUUAUUCAAAUGAAGGCUGUGUGUGAACAUGAAGUCUUCCUGGGGAAUGUGUCUUAGGGAAACAGUUUGUUAGCAUUUAGGUACAGAAGGCAAGAUGAGAGAGAGAGACAGGCAAAAUCUGGAAGGAGAUAGAUUCAGGCCAUGGAGUCUAGAAACUAAGGAUUCUUUGACCCCAAGCUGAUGUUUGGGAAUUGGGACAUCCACGGAGACCCCUGUUUCGGGACACUUUUGUGAGAUAGUACCAGAAUUUGUACUUGACUAGGGGCCUAGGUGGCAGUUUAAAAUUCAAUCUUCAAUUUCUAAGUACAUUCUAUUUCAUCCUAUUUUGGGUAUUAAUAUGAUUUAGAGACCAGAAAAUGAAGGAGAAUUAAAUGGGAAUGGAGGUGCCCCGCUGAGUGCAAAACUCCCCUCUAAUGUAAGCAGAAGCAGUUGCUGUUAUUAUGUGGACAAGUGCUUAGGCCAUUUCCUUGGCUCUUGCAGGCAGGUAAGAUAGGUAGGCCCCAGUGUGGGUGGCUGACACCGGUAGUCUCAGUACUUUUUUGAGGCCAAGGCAGGAGGAUUACUUGAGCCCAGGAGUUAGAGACCAGACUGGGCAACAGAAUGAGAUUCCAUGUCUACACAAAAUAAAACAUUAACCCAGCAUGGUGAUCACUUCAUUGCACUCCAGCAUGGGUCACAGAGCAAGACCCUAUCUCAGGAAACAAAAAAAGGUAGGUGGGCAACAAUUUGGAAGAAUUGCAUAAAUAUUUAUAAUUGCAUUGGCUUUAUAAAAUUUCAAUGUGUCAUGGUUGUAGAUGUUGCAAUAAAUGCUAUUUCUGA